GACGAACUCCUGAAACCGCUAGAGGCGGAGGUGCCAGAAGAUAUUUUAAACAAGGACCUUAAAAAUCCCAGAGAAAUCAGGCGGAAUAAGAGGCGAAAGGUUUGUGGGGACCAAACCAGUGGAAUGCGGCAGAAGAAAAAUGGAGUAGAAGAGGCACCUAGAUGGCAAGAAAAGGAACGAAAGUUUCGAGACUAACCUAAGCCGCUCCGAAGGAUGCAGAGG
rnacentral:lncRNA from 1 species